CACGUAGGGUGCGAGCGUUGUCCGGAAUUAUUGGGCGUAAAGAGCUCGUAGGCGGUGUGUCGCGUCGGCCGUGAAAACCUGCAGCUUAACUGUGGGCGUGCGGUCGAUACGGGCAUCACUGGAGUUCGGCAGGGGAGACUGGAAUUCCUGGUGUAGCGGUGAAAUGCGCAGAUAUCAGGAGGAACACCGGUGGCGAAGGCGGGUCUCUGGGCCGAUACUGACGCUGAGGAGCGAAAGCGUGGGGAGCGAACAAG
rnacentral:rRNA from 1 species